rnacentral:Y_RNA from 1 species
AACUGGUCCAAAGACAGUGAGUUAUCUCAGUUGGUUCUACAGUCAGUUACAGCUUGAGCUCCUCCUUGUGCUCCUUUUUCUACCUCCCCUCACUGCUGCACUUGACUGAAAA